rnacentral:rRNA from 1 species
UACGUAGGGUGCGAGCGUUGUCCGGAAUUAUUGGGCGUAAAGAGCUCGUAGGCGGUUUGUCGCGUCUAUCGUGAAAACUUGGGGCUUAACCCUGAGCUUGCGGUCGAUACGGGCAUGACUGGAGUUCGGCAGGGGAGACUGGAAUUCCUGGUGUAGCGGUGAAAUGCGCAGAUAUCAGGAGGAACACCGGUGGCGAAGGCGGGUCUCUGGGCCGAUACUGACGCUGAGGAGCGAAAGCGUGGGGAGCGAACAGG